rnacentral:rRNA from 1 species
AGUUUGAUCCUGGCUCAGGACGAACGCUGGCGGCGUGCUUAACACAUGCAAGUCGAACGAUGAUCCGGUGCUUGCACCGGGGAUUAGUGGCGAACGGGUGAGUAACACGUGAGUAACCUGCCCUUGACUCUGGGAUAAGCCUGGGAAACCGGGUCUAAUACCGGAUACGACCUUUCACCGCAUGGUGGUUGGUGGAAAGAUUUUUUGGUUUUGGAUGGACUCGCGGCCUAUCAGCUUGUUGGUGAGGUAAUGGCUCACCAAGGCGACGACGGGUAGCCGGCCUGAGAGGGUGACCGGCCACACUGGGACUGAGACACGGCCCAGACUCCUACGGGAGGCAGCAGUGGGGAAUAUUGCACAAUGGGCGAAAGCCUGAUGCAGCGACGCCGCGUGAGGGAUGACGGCCUUCGGGUUGUAAACCUCUUUCAGCAGGGAAGAAGCGAAAGUGACGGUACCUGCAGAAGAAGCGCCGGCUAACUACGUGCCAGCAGCCGCGGUAAUACGUAGGGCGCAAGCGUUGUCCGGAAUUAUUGGGCGUAAAGAGCUCGUAGGCGGUUUGUCGCGUCUGCUGUGAAAGCCCGGGGCUCAACCCCGGGUCUGCAGUGGGUACGGGCAGACUAGAGUGCAGUAGGGGAGACUGGAAUUCCUGGUGUAGCGGUGAAAUGCGCAGAUAUCAGGAGGAACACCGAUGGCGAAGGCAGGUCUCUGGGCUGUAACUGACGCUGAGGAGCGAAAGCAUGGGGAGCGAACAGGAUUAGAUACCCUGGUAGUCCAUGCCGUAAACGUUGGGCACUAGGUGUGGGGGACAUUCCACGUUUUCCGCGCCGUAGCUAACGCAUUAAGUGCCCCGCCUGGGGAGUACGGGCCGUAAGGCUAAAACUCAAAGGAAUUGACGGGGGCCCGCACAAGCGGCGGAGCAUGCGGAUUAAUUCGAUGCAACGCGAAGAACCUUACCAAGGCUUGACAUGGACCGGACCGCCGCAGAAAUGCGGUUUCCCUUCGGGGCCGGUUUACAGGUGGUGCAUGGUUGUCGUCAGCUCGUGUCGUGAGAUGUUGGGUUAAGUCCCGCAACGAGCGCAACCCUCGUUCUAUGUUGCCAGCGCGUAAUGGCGGGGACUCAUAGGAGACUGCCGGGGUCAACUCGGAGGAAGGUGGGGACGACGUCAAAUCAUCAUGCCCCUUAUGUCUUGGGCUUCACGCAUGCUACAAUGGCCGGUACAAAGGGUUGCGAUACUGUGAGGUGGAGCUAAUCCCAAAAAGCCGGUCUCAGUUCGGAUUGAGGUCUGCAACUCGACCUCAUGAAGUCGGAGUCGCUAGUAAUCGCAGAUCAGCAACGCUGCGGUGAAUACGUUCCCGGGCCUUGUACACACCGCCCGUCAAGUCACGAAAGUUGGUAACACCCGAAGCCGGUGGCCUAACCCCUUGGGGAGGGAGCCGUCGAAGGUGGGACCGGCGAUUGGGACUAAGUCGUAACAAGGUAGCCG